GGAAAAGCCGCGAGUUCUUGGCUACGUGGCGCGGUUGUUGGCCCGGCGCGGCCAGUGCUACUGGGGGCGUCCCUCUCUGGCCCUCCCAGGGACAAGUGACUUGAUGGUAGAUUUUGCCAAGCCCCUCACAUGAUUCUAUGAAACUCAUGGGAGCGAGGAACAGCUGCUGCGCGGAGGUGGCAGUGUGUGUGCUAAAUCCCUUUAGUUCCUGCUCUGCUUUUCCUCCAGAAAGGGAUGAGCGUCUAACAGGGGCCCCGGUCUGAACCCGCCUGCCAAAGUGAGGUUUGCUCACAUCCAACCCCUGACAGCUCCAGGGUGCUGUUACUGCGAGCAGGGCACCGGCCCUCCGGCCCGAAGCAGGGCAGGGACAUGAGGGAGAACGCGCCCUGUCCCUCCCACCUCCUCCGGACUCGGCCCCUGGAGGGGCUGACGCUGGAAGACCUGACAUCGUCGCUUCUGAUGUUCAUGGCUUUUGACCCAUGUUCAGGUUUGAAAUCUCUUACCCAGUUUAAGAACGGGAUGAACUCUCCUCGUUUAAAGGAGAGAAUGAAGAACGCUGAACGCAAAUCUCCGUCCUUGUGCGCAUAAAUCUGAGGCGACAGGAAGAAUGUGGAGGCAAACCUGGCUCUUCUCAGUACUGCUGGAGCCACCCACCGCUCUGCCAUUCAGGAACUCUGCGCGGGUGCCAGGUGCCACGCGCGGUGCUGCCCCCGCACUCCCCUCGAGCUGUGCGAACUGUAGGAAGGAGAAGCUGGUGGGGUGGAGAGCAACAGGGAGAGACCCAUGUUCGGGGUCAGACGGGAGCAGCUGCAGGAAGUUCUGGGGGAGGGGAAGGGGGAUUAUGACCAGAUGGAAAUGAAAGGAAACGGGAGACUGUAUUAAUAAACUAGCAGCUUUAUUGCCCUUCAGGGGCCAUGUCUUCAC
rnacentral:lncRNA from 1 species